rnacentral:rRNA from 1 species
CACGUAGGGCGCGAGCGUUGUCCGGAAUUAUUGGGCGUAAAGAGCUCGUAGGCGGCCUGUUGCGUCCGCUGUGAAAGCCCGGGGCUUAACCUCGGGUCUGCAGUCGAUACGGGCUGGCUAGAGUGUGGUAGGGGAGAUCGGAAUUCCUGGUGUAGCGGUGAAAUGCGCAGAUAUCAGGAGGAACACCGGUGGCGAAGGCGGAUCUCUGGGCCAUUACUGACGCUGAGGAGCGAAAGCUAGGGGAGCAAACAGG